AAUCUCAGCAGUCAGCAGAAAGUGAACUUUUGGCGCUACCGAAAUUCGCAGUGAUGUCGGCGAUAUACGUGGUGGAGCCUCCGACGAAGGGCAAGGUUGUUCUGACGACGACGCACGGCCCUCUCGACAUCGAGCUCUGGCCGAAGGAGGCUCCCAAGGCCGUCAGAAACUUCGUCCAGCUCUGCCUCGAGGGCUACUACGACCGUACCAUCUUCCACCGCAUCAUCAAGGGCUUCCUCAUCCAGAGCGGCGACCCCACCGGCACCGGCACGGGUGGUGAGAGUAUUUAUGGCGGUGUUUUUGCCGAUGAGUUUCAUUCGCGUCUGAGAUUCAAGCAUAGAGGUUUGGUCGCUUGUGCGAAUGCGGGUUCGCCCAAUUCCAAUGGGAGCCAGUUUUUCAUUUCCUUGGAUAGAUGUGAUUGGCUCGACAAAAAACAUACUAUUUUCGGGAAGGUUACUGGAGAUUCGAUAUAUAAUCUUACAAGGUUAGGCGAUCUUGAAACCGAUAAGGAUGAUCGUCCCCUCGACCCACCGCCAAGGAUAUUAUCAGUUGAGAUUUUGUGGAAUCCGUUUGAUGAUAUAGUACCAAGACAACCCGCAAGACAGUUGGUCCCUUCAGCAGAUGAUACCGUCAAUAAAGAUACGGAGAAAAAAGCUGUUAAAAAGUUGAACUUGCUUUCUUUUGGAGAAGAAGCGGAAGAAGAGGAGAAAGAACUGGCGGCAGUAAAGAAAAAAAUCAAGAGCAGUCAUGACGUGUUGGACGAUCCCCGUCUUCUAAAGGACGCAGUUACAAACAGCGAAUUGAAUUCUGAAACCAAAAUAAGGGAGGUGCAGUUAUCUGUUAGAGAAGCUCUUAGCUCGAAGAAAGAAGAGUCUCACAAAGGUGUAGAAGCUGACAUAUACAGUGACAAUGAUGAUGAAGAUGAGGCAGACUUUGAUGCGCGAAUGCGUCAGCAAAUACUUAGAAAAAGGAACGAAUUAGGAGAUCUACCACCCAAGCCGAAAUUGCGCAAAGGUGGUUCUGACUCAAAGAAGCGUGAAGUAUCUCCAUCAAGGUCGGAUGCUAAACGGGACAGUGAUGAUCAACCUAAGAGAGGAAAGUUGUCAAUGAAUAAAAAAGGGCUAGGAUCAGAAGCGAGAGCAGAACGCAUGGCCAAUGCCAAUGUAGAUUUGGAGCUGUUGAAUGAAGCCGAAAGAGGAAGACAGCUGCAAAAACAGAAGAAGCGUAGACUUCAAUGGCGUGAAGAUGAGAUUCUAGCAAAGCUUGAGAAGUUCAAGAAGGAAUUAUUUGAAAAACCAGCUGCUCCAAGUAGUGAAUCUGGAAGUGGAGGCAGUAAGGAGGAUUUGUCUGACUGGAAGAAUGUUCGUUUGAAGUUUGUUCCUGAACCUGGCAAGGAUCGCAUGUCUCGCAGUGAUGACCCCAAUGACUAUGUCCUUGUUGAUCCUCUUUUAGAGAAAGGAAAGGAGAAGUUUAAUCGGAUGCAAGCCAAGCAAAAGAGACGUGAACGGGAAUGGGCUGGAAGAUCUCUUACUUGAUGUCAUCUUCUCAAACUCUACGGGCUUGUGAAUAUUUAUGACUGAAUGGAAUGAUGUGCUGGAGCUUGAUUGCAUGCGAAUUUGUCUUGUCUGCUAAAAUGGUUUGCAGAUCAUCAUAAGCCAGAUUCCUUCAAAGCAUUGGAGUUUGAGGUGCAUAUUUGGCAUCAUUUCUUCUCAAAGUGGACUAAAUUUAUCGUUUCAAACAGUGCCAAAAGGCGUGAUUAUGGCUGCUUAUCUUUUGGUACUGCUCUCUCUAAAAUGACUUGACCCUUUUACAUUUUCAAAAUUGUACAUAAUUAUGAUUUAUGUUUUCUUAUUAAGGCAUUAUUAGGAAAUCUGACCCUUUUCUGAUCUUAUGUUCGCGGAUCUAGGAAACGGACUUUUGUUGUUCAUACAGAUGAUUAACUGCAGCCGUGCCUCUGAAAGUCUGAUAUAGAGUUGGAAAGCUUGCGAAGACCAAGGCCUACCUUAUAGGUCAGUUUGCCUCUUUGGAAAAAAAAAAAAAAAAAAAAAAAAAAAAAAAAAAAAAAACAAGUCCAUUUCUUGAUUAUUAAUUAAAUUUGUUUAAUUUUACUGCAACCGAGUCCGACCAAGAACAUUCUCUAUCUCUUGGUUUUUUCUACCAGGUCUCCCACCUUUACGCUUUUUUGUUUCCAUUGGGUACCCGUUAACCUGCUUUGCAUUCGGUCAAAAGUAGCGUAUAAUGUUGAAAUUCUUAAAUCGAUGUGGGGUCCGCUAUACACGUAUGUCUACCGUGCACCUAAAGGAGAAGUAUUGUAUAAUUUGUAUUAAUAGAUAAGCUUUAAAUUCCUUAACUUUCUGGUAAACCAAAUGGCGAUAGUAGCAUAUGAUGUGACGAGGGCGUUAAGUACAAAUUUAAUGCUACAUCACGGAAGUUUUUGACAAAAUAAGAAAGAUAUGUAGAAAGGGUAAUAAGACAAAUACACAUUGUUUUCGUUUUUAUC